AGUGAACGCUGGCGGUAGGCCUAACACAUGCAAGUCGAACGGCAGCACAGUAAGAGCUUGCUCUUACGGGUGGCGAGUGGCGGACGGGUGAGGAAUACAUCGGAAUCUACUUUUUCGUGGGGGAUAACGUAGGGAAACUUACGCUAAUACCGCAUACGACCUACGGGUGAAAGUAGGGGAUCUUCGGACCUUGCGCGAUUGAAUGAGCCGAUGUCGGAUUAGCUAGUUGGCGGGGUAAAGGCCCACCAGGGCGACGAUCCGUAGCUGGUCUGAGAGGAUGAUCAGCCACACUGGAACUGAGACACGGUCCAGACUCCUACGGGAGGCAGCAGUGGGGAAUAUUGGACAAUGGGCGCAAGCCUGAUCCAGCCAUACCGCGUGGGUGAAGAAGGCCUUCGGGUUGUAAAGCCCUUUUGUUGGGAAAGAAAAGCAGCAGGUUAAUACCCCGCUGUUCUGACGGUACCCAAAGAAUAAGCACCGGCUAACUUCGUG
rnacentral:rRNA from 1 species